CAAUUUAACCGUCUACAGGGAUAACUUCACCACGUAGCAUGUUUAAUUCAGCGAGCGGUGUCCGGUUAUCAUCUCAUACAUUAAUACAUUUUUGCAUUUUAAUCUCAUUUUACAUUCCCAAAAUAAUCUAAUUAUGAUAAUGGUCAUGCUAAACACAUUGCAUUGUGGAAUAUUGUUCUGACAUAAUGUACUCGCACACUGCACGUUCUGACAAAUGUAGUAGGUCAUUUCUUGCAUGCCAAAGUACGCUAAUAUUGUGUAGUCAUACACAGAGCACAGUGUGCACACUACGUGCUACAUUCUUUAAAAACUAGAGGUUCAAGUACUGUAUGUCAUUGCAAACAUGAGAUGCUCGUAUAUUCCCACUCGCUCUUUUUCAAAGGGAGUUUUCACCUGACUUGGUUCCCAGCGGUAUUGUCCUCCUCCGAGCAGCUGAGAUCUCAAGGUCUUCUGUAGAGCAAAUUGCUUGUCGUCGCUUAUCGAGGAUAGGGAGGCGGAGAGGGAACACAAGAGUGUUAAAUGAUCAUCAUUCCUUGUGAAAGUUGGCCCAUGUGUGCAACCAAUACACACACUCCGUCUCAGGGACGGGCUCGUGUGUGUGUGUGGGGGGGUGUUCUCCUAUAACUUUCCCUCAAGAACAGCGAGAAAUUAAUUGCUUCAGACUUAAACAAAAAAAAACAAAAUCAACCAAUUUCACGCGUAUCGGAAGGCCCUUCAAGGUUUGUGCACCUCGUCU